UACGGAGGGUGCGAGCGUUAAUCGGAUUUACUGGGCGUAAAGCGUGCGUAGGUGGUCUUUUAAGUCGGAUGUGAAAUCCCUGAGCUUAACUUAGGAAUUGCAUUCGAUACUGGGAAGCUAGAGUAUGGGAGAGGAUGGUAGAAUUCCAGGUGUAGCGGUGAAAUGCGUAGAGAUCUGGAGGAAUACCGAUGGCGAAGGCAGCCAUCUGGCCUAAUACUGACGCUGAGGUACGAAAGCAUGGGGAGCAAACAGG
rnacentral:rRNA from 1 species